ensembl:lncRNA
CUUCUCCUCCUCCUCCUCCUCCUCCUUUUGCCUCUGCUUCCUCAUUCCUUUCCCCUCACCGUUUGAGGCUCCUCUUGUAGGACUCUCCCCUCCAUCGCAUUCAUCCUGGCUUUCCUUCCUCGGUGCUCUUUUUCCACACUGAGUACAGCUUUUGGGAGCAGCACUGUGGCAGCAUCUUGGACUUUUGCACGCUUCCUCUUUCUCUCCUCUGGGAGAGUGUUUACCGGCCAGGCCCCCUUUGUCUCGCUCUUCCUGCCUUUCUUCCAGAGUGAAUUCUGCAGCAGGAUCCUCCCUGACACCCUGCUGCCUCUUUCUGUUCACGUCUGUUUUCUCCCGGGCUGCUGGAUUGCUGGACUUCCUCCAUCUCCGGCCGGAUCGCACCCUCACCCGGUUUACUCCGUUAUGGGCCGGCGGAGUCAGUCCGUGGUCCCUCCUCCCGGCUGGGAUGUCUCUGCCUCCUCCUGUCUUCCCCCUCAGCCAUCCCCCCACCACGCUGGAGGCUGCGCCGGCAGUCACAGCGGACCCAGGCUUCGCCGUGGAGUACAAAAAGCUCCCUUUCUCAGUCCGGAGGAAGAGGCAUUGGGUCUGUGUCUUCCCGCUGCCCUCGGAGGUCUUCAGAGUGGCAACUGUGACCAAAGAUCCGAUCCCAGCCUGCCUGGCAUCCAGCCCCAAUGGAAGGCCGUACCCCAUGCAACCCCACUCCCUGUUAAGGAGACCACCAGCCUUCCGGCGGUUCUUGGAGCACAGGGCCCAGGCUCGGAGGCCCCGGAUUAGCGGCAGAUCUCCAAGGCCCAGCUCCAUUCGGCUGGGGAAGGGCAAAGAGGCUCGGGAGCACUUCUGCAGCAUCUCCCUGGUGGAGGCCGACACAUUCAGCCUCCGUCGAACAGCAUCAUCACAGCAAUAGAUAAGUAUACUGACAACACACACGCGCACACGAUGGAAUGACGUCACGUACCCGUGUGCAUAUCACUUUCUCAAAGGGUCCGUGGACGUUUUGACAGUCCGUUUUACCGUGGAGUCCUGGAUGCUAAACGAUUUCUGAAUGUAUGGAAGUCUAUAUAAAUAGGACACUACUUAUGACUCGAUUUAUUACCAUCAUUACAUUACCCGCAAAUGUAGUCUUUACACGGGAACGCCCACUUCUUAUUCUCCUCUUCUCUUCUUCUAGAAUGGAAAUUGAAUUAGAAAAGGUUGCGUAUGUAUUGCUGAACAUUUAUACUUUCAUAAAUGAAUCUCGUGCAUAUGAUUCCAAAUACAUACAAAGUUUAGAUACAUAUGGGAGUGUUUCACAUAUAUUAUAUGUUGUGUGGACAAUUUUCACUAGUACGUGUAAGAGCUUUUCAUUAGUGUGUAUGAAUGAAAUCACACUAGCAUACAGAAGGUAUCUCACUUACACCAGAAGGUGGAAGCAAAGAGGGCAGGUUUUGAACAGUAAAAAUUACUAAUGGUAUUAGCACUACAGUUGAUAUUACUAGUAAUACUACUAACACUACUACAAUUUUUCCCAUUGCUAUUAAUACUAAAACUACUAAUACUUCUUCUACUGCUAGUACUACCAGUACCACAACUAAUACUACUGCUAAUAUUACUACAUAGCCAUUUUUAAGAAUUCAUCUCAUCUUUUCUCAUUUCUGUAUUUUCAGCAAUGUUUUUACAUUUAUUUCAGCUUUUCUUAUUUCUGUAUUUACAUAAUGUUUAAAAAAUUCGCUCCAGCUUUAGCUGUUUCUGUAUUUUCAAAAUUCUGAAAUUCAUUUCAGCGUUUUUCAUGUCUGUAUGUUCAGCAAUUUUCUGAAAUUCAUUUCAAUAUUUAGCAUUUUUCUUUUCAGAUAUUCUAAUUUCGGUGUUUUCAGCAAUUUUUUUAAAUCCACUUCAGCUUCUGCCAUUUCUGUAUUUUCUGAAAUUAAAGAGGUUCUCGUGGACCUGGAGCCCAAUGUCAUCG